rnacentral:rRNA from 1 species
AUUCCAGCUCCAAUAGCGUAUAUUAAAGUUGUUGCAGUUAAAAAGCUCGUAGUCGGAUUUUGGCAUCACGCCGAACUGUCUGCCGAUUGGUAAGUACGGUUUGGCGGGUGCUUCCUUCCGGAGGCUCGUUCCCUUCUUCAUUGAAGGGUUCGUUGGUUCCGGGUCUUUUACUUUGAGAAAAUUAGAGUGUUCAAAGCAGGCCUAUGCUCUGAAUAGGUUAGCAUGGAAUAAUAGAAUAGGACUUUGGUUCUAUUUUGUUGGUUUCUAGUACUGAAGUAAUGAUUGAUAGGGAUAGUUGGGGGUGCUAGUAUUGAGCGGCCAGAGGUGAAAUUCUUGGAUUUGUUAAAGACGGACUACUGCGAAAGCAUUUGUCAAGGAUGUUUUCAUUG